GGAAUAUUGGACAAUGGGCGCAAGCCUGAUCCAGCCAUGCCGCGUGUGUGAAGAAGGCCUUCGGGUUGUAAAGCACUUUUGUACGGGAAGAAAAGCACUCGGUUAAUACCCGGGUGUCAUGACGGUACCGUAAGCAUAAGCACCGGCUACCUUCGUGCCAGCAGCCGCGGUAAUACGAAGGGUGCAAGCGUUACUCGGAAUUACUGGGCGUAAAGCGUGCGUAGGUGGUUUGUUAAGUCUGAUGUGAAAGCCCUGGGCUCAACCUGGGAAUUGCAUUGGAUACUGGCAGUCUAGAGUGCGGUAGAGGGUAGCGGAAUUCCCGGUGUAGCAGUGAAAUGCGUAGAUAUCGGGAGGAACAUCCGUGGUGAAGACGGCUCUCUGGACCGCCACUGACGCUGAGACUCGAAAGCGUGGGGAGCAAAC
rnacentral:rRNA from 1 species